rnacentral:rRNA from 1 species
CAGUCGCCGCGGGAAUACGAAGGGGGCUAGCGUUGCUCGGAACCACUGGGCGUAAAGGGUGCGUAGGCGGGUCUUUAAGUCAGGGGUGAAAUCCUGGAGCUCAACUCCAGAACUGCCUUUGAUACUGAAGAUCUUGAGUUCGGGAGAGGUGAGUGGAACUGCGAGUGUAGAGGUGAAAUUCGUAGAUAUUCGCAAGAACACCAGUGGCGAAGGCGGCUCACUGGCCCGAUACUGACGCUGAGGCACGAAAGCGUGGGGAGCAAACAGGAUUAGAUACCCGUGUAGUCCCUGUCUCUUAUAU